rnacentral:misc_RNA from 1 species
GAUGAAGAACGUAGCGAAAUGCGAUAAGUAAUGUGAAUUGCAGAAUUCAGUGAAUCAUCGAAUCUUUGAACGCACAUUGCGCCCAUUAGCAUUCUAGUGGGCAUGCCUGUUCGAGCGUCAUUUCAACCCUUAAGCCCUGUUGCUUAGCGUUGGGAGCCUACAGUACUGUAGCUCCCCAAAGUUAGUGGCGGAGUCGGUUUCACACUCUAGACGUAGUAAUUUUUUCUCGUCUGUAGUUGAGCCGGUCCCCUGCCGUAAAACACCCAAUUUAUCAAGGUUGACCUCGGAUCAGGUAGGAAUAACCGCUGAACUUAAGCAUAUCAAUAAGCGGAGGA